CAGUCGCCGCGGGAAUACGUAGGGUGCAAGCGUUAAUCGGAAUUACUGGGCGUAAAGCGUGCGCAGGCGGUUUGUUAAGACAGAUGUGAAAUCCCCGGGCUCAACCUGGGAACUGCAUUUGUGACUGGCAAGCUAGAGUGUGGCAGAGGGGGGUGGAAUUCCGCGUGUAGCAGUGAAAUGCGUAGAUAUGCGGAGGAACACCGAUGGCGAAGGCAGCCCCCUGGGCCAACACUGACGCUCAUGCACGAAAGCGUGGGGAGCAAACAGGAUUAGAUACCCCCGUAGUCCCUGUCUCUUAUAA
rnacentral:rRNA from 1 species